rnacentral:RNase_P_RNA from 1 species
GGGACGAACCGGGCCGCCGUCGCCGAGGCUUGCCUCGGCGGAGGAAAGUCCGGGCUCGAAAGGACGCGACGCCGGCUAACGGCCGGGCGUACGGCUGGCGACGGCCGUACGACAGAAAGCGCAACAGAAAGCGAACCGCCUGCGCCGAAAGGCGCGGGUAAGGGUGAAAAGGUGGGGUAAGAGCCCACCGCGUUCGCGGCGACGCGAACGGCACGGCAAGCCUCGUCGCGAGCAAGGCCGAACAGCGGAGGCGCGGUUCGCGCUCCGUCUCCACCGCGAGGUGGAGACGGUACUCCGCGGGUAGGCCGCGAAAGCGGAAGAGCGAUCUUCCGCAAAGAUGGAUGGCGGCCGCCGCGAAAGCGGUACAGAACCCGGCUUAUAGGUUCGUCCCUUUU